rnacentral:rRNA from 1 species
CGCCUUGCCAGCCCGCUCAGAAACUUAAAGGAAUUGACGGGGCCGCACAAGCGGUGGAGCAUGUGGUUAAUUCGAAGCAACGCGAAGAACCUUACCAGGCCUUGACAUGCAGAGAACUUUCCAGAGAUGGAUUGGUGCCUUCGGGAACUCUGACACAGGUGCUGCAUGGCUGUCGUCAGCUCGUGUCGUGAGAUGUUGGGUUAAGUCCCGUAACGAGCGCAACCCUUGUCCUUAGUUACCAGCACGUUAUGGUGGGCACUCUAAGGAGACUGCCGGUGACAAACCGGAGGAAGGUGGGGAUGACGUCAAGUCAUCAUGGUCCUUACGGCCUGGGCUACACACGUGCUACAAUGGUCGGUACAAAGGGUUGCCAAGCCGCGAGGUGGAGCUAAUCCCAUAAAACCGAUCGUAGUCCGGAUCGCAGUCUGCAACUCGACUGCGUGAAGUCGGAAUCGCUAGUAAUCGUGAAUCAGAAUGUCACGGUGAAUACGUUCCCGGGCCUU